AUGUGGUGUGGUGGCGGUGCCCCGAUGCGGCGCCGCUCUGCCCGUCGGCUCCUCGUGCUGUGCCUGCGUGGCGCGCGUUGCUUCGUCCUCUGUGUGUGCUUCCCAGCGCUCUGUAGCGACCGUUUCUCCCCUGCUGCGAGAACGUGGCGGGGAGGAAAUAAAAGGUUCAUGUUCCCCUGGGCACGUUGUAGCGUCUGUUCCUUCUGCCGGGCACGCUCUGUCCUCACGGAGCCUGCGGGAGCCGUCCGCUCGCUGAGGCCGUGGGGCUGGGCGGGCACGGGAGGGAGCGGCGUUGUUGUGCCUCCCCGGCCGCGCUCCCUGGCAGGGGAAGCCAGACCUGCUGGAGCUGGCAGCACAGGCUGCAGACACCAACACAAUGGCAGGGGAAGCUGGUGGGGCCCCGGCUGCGCCGCUCUUGGGACAGGGACCCCGGUGGCAGCUCGCCCUGGGGUGUGCCUGCUGCGUCCUGCUGGCACCGGGGCACCCCUGAACACGGUGCUGCCCGCGGUUGUGCCAGCAGAGCUUUGGUGUUUGUGUGGGUUUGCCGGGCAGCUCGACCUGCUGACGUGCGGCCCCACGGCUCUGCCGUGCCAGCCCCUCGCCUCCUGCCCUCCACACCACCACCCUGCCCUGUCCCCUGGCAGCACUGGGAUGCUCCCACCCGCUCUUCCUUCCUGGGCAGCUGGGAAAUGGAAACAGGGCCACUCGGAUCCAGCCAGGUGGUGGUGUGCCGUGGUGUGCCAUGGUGGCACAGGACAGGAGGCUGCCCCAGCACGUCCCCUCCUGCCCCUUCCUGCUCACGCUGCUGCUGCUGUGCGGAAGGGGACAGCCGCUGCCACCCUGUGCAGGAUGCGGGGUCAGCACGCAGGGGACACAGAGGACGUCCUGCCCUGCUGGCCCCAACCGGCACCAGGCUCGUCCCUUCCCCAGCUGCUUCCUCCGAGCUCACAGCCAAGCGCUGUCGCUGACUGCCCGAGCCCCCACACAGGAGGGGUCUCUGUGCUCCCAAAACUCCCUCAGCUUCACAGAGCUAGCGGUUCACCCUGCAGGCUCCUGCCUGCUGCAGGGUCUGCUUGCCCACAGCUUGCCCCAAUUCCCUGCGUGCCCCUGAUUGCUCUACGCCGUGCACUGGGCCAGCCCCUUUCCUCUUCCCAGGUUCUCAACAGCUCGGCCGGGGAGUCCAAGGACGGCCCAGCCCCUAUCUCCUGGGGCAGCACGUGCAGCUGCUUCCUGCAGCCCUCAGCUCUGCUGGGUUCUUGCCGGCGGGCACCCAGGCAUGGACGGUGACGGGCACCAGCCACGGACCAUGGGAGGCGCGGCACAACGGCAGCGGGGAGCCGAUGGCCACGCACGGCCCCACGCUGCUGCAGGUACUGCCGGGCACCAGCACGGGUGAGGGCCGGGACCGGGCAGCACCGGGGACUGAGGGACACGUGGCUGGGGAACGGCGCAGCCACCGCAACCUGGCUGUGCCGGGAGGGGUCGGUGCCCCCGCACAGCCCACCCCUGGCACCCUGACCUCCCCUCCCCUCCCCUCCCCUCUCCUCUCCCCGUGCAGGUGCUCCCGAAGAAGCUGAACGCCAGGAGAGCCCCGGAGCAGCCCGGGUAGGUGCUGGCACUGCCGUGGUGCCACCUGCACUGCCACCGAGCCCGCAGGAGCCCUGGCUGCACCCCCGGGGGAAGGCAGGGCCGGUGCCGCAGGGGGCCCGGAGGUGCCCGCCGCGCCCUCAGGAGCCCCUGUGCGGUUCCCCGCAGCCCAGGGGGGCUCCCCGCCCGCCCCAGCAGGAUCCCGGUGCGGAGGAAGGGGGCAGCGACCACCCAGAGCCUGCCCACACUCGGCCCCGGGAGCACCGCAGCGUCCCCCAGCCCAGAGGCACGGCCGUGCUGGGCCCCGCACCCCACACAGUCCCGCAGGUAGGGCCCAUACCCCCAGAGCUGGUGGGACCCUCGCCCACCCGGCCCCUGGCCCACCCGGCCCCGGCCCCUCACCCCGCUCUCUGUCCCCGCAGGGCCCUGCCAGGCGGCCCCGGUCCCCAUCACGGGGUCACGGAGCGUGGAGCAGCUGCUGGGUGAGGGCCUGCGCCCCCAGGUAUGGCCCCGGGCACAGCGGGGGGCUGCCGCGCAGGCGGGGGGCUCGGCCCCCAGCCCCUUCCCACCCAUUCUCCUGCCUUGUAGCGCCCUGCCCAGCCCCGUGUCCGGCUGCCCCUCGCUCCGCUCCUGCCGCCAGCUCCUCUCCUUCUGCGCCGAGGCCUGACCGCGGCCGCCAGCACCGGCCCCACACCCACCACGGCCGCGCGCCCGCACCCAGCCCAGGACCGACG
rnacentral:lncRNA from 1 species